UGGAGCAUGUGGUUUAAUUCGACGCAACGCGAAGAACCUUUACCAGGGCUUGACAUCCCUUGAAGCAGCUAGAGAUAGCUGUGUCCUUCGGGACAAGGAGACAGGUGGUGCAUGGUUGUCGUCAGCUCGUGUCGUGAGAUGUUGGGUUAAGUCCCGCAACGAGCGCAACCCCUGUGGUUAGUUGCCAGCAAGUAGCGUUGGGCACUCUAGCCAGACUGCCGGUGAUAAAUCGGAGGAAGGUGGGGACGACGUCAAAUCAUCAUGCCCUUUAUGUCCUGGGCUACACACGUACUACAAUGGCCGUUACAACGGGAAGCGAAGGAGCAAUCCGGAGCAAAUCCCUUAAAGGCGGUCCCAGUUCAGAUUGUGGGCUGAAACUCGCCCACAUGAAGGCGGAAUUGCUAGUAAUUGCAGAUCAGCAUGCUGCAGUGAAUACGUUCCCGGGCCUU
rnacentral:rRNA from 1 species